AUAUAAACAAACGACAAACACUGAAUUACAGGCUCCUGACUUGGGACAGGCACAUACAUAAAUACUGUGGCGGGGUUAAACAUGUUAGCGGGAUCCCAACCCUCCCCUAACCUGGGACAGUGGUAUAACAGUACAACAUAAGAACGAACUAUAAAAUCAGUUGAAAAAGGCUUAACUCAUCAGAUGGACAAAAAUACAAGUGGACGUGGCCGGGUACUU
rnacentral:lncRNA from 1 species